UUCCUAUUUGCCCUAGAAACAAGACUGCUUCUUCUCUGCGCCUCAUUCCAGUGAGGCCUAAAAACAUUUCCCUAUCCUCUUCUUAGCAAUCCCUUGCAAGGAGUAAUGUAAGGUUGCGCCAAGAGUUGCUUGAAUCAUCUCCAAAGAUUGCCAUUACUAUUAUAUGGGAGAUUGUAAGAGUGAUAUCAUCUGUCGAUUUUUUCCAUGGUCAGGCACACAAGCUAUAGUGAGGAACAAUAGAAUGAAGGUUCAUCUUGGCUAACCAACAGGAUUCUGAUGAAGAAGGAUUAUAGAAGUUAUCUUCAGAUCAUGAGGAGUUGUUCUUUAGGCUUUCUCUUGUAUAACUUUCAUGGAAAUAGUAGAUUUUUCUUAUCAAAUUAAUGAUGUAUAUGUAGAUAUUUUUAUUAUUGGAUGAAUGUUGGCAUGAAACUUAUGUACUGACUUGUAAGUUAAAAAAUAUUAGAAUUUUAUAUUAUGUA